UUUCCGUAGGUGAACCUGCGGAAGGAUCAUUAUUGGAUUUUGAAACUUCAGGCUGCUGCUGGCUCUCCUCGGAGGGCAUGUGCACGCUUGUUGUCCAUUAUUUCUCCCACUGUGCACAAAUUGUAGACCUUUCAGUAGGCCUAUGUUGUUUUUCACAAUCUCUGAAUGUAAUAGAAUGGUUUUGAAUCUUGGGAAAUACAAUACAACUUUCAGCAACGGAUCUCUUGGCUCCCGCAUCGAUGAAGAACGAGC
rnacentral:misc_RNA from 1 species